AUUACUGAGUUUACGCUCUACAACCCUUUGUGAACAUACCUAUAACUGUUGCUUCGGCGGGUAGGGUCUCCGUGACCCUCCCGGCCUCCCGCCCCCGGGCGGGUCGGCGCCCGCCGGAGGAUAACCAAACUCUGAUUUAACGACGUUUCUUCUGAGUGGUACAAGCAAAUAAUCAAAACUUUUAACAACGGAUCUCUUGGUUCUGGCAUCGAUGAAGAACGCAGCGAAAUGCGAUAAGUAAUGUGAAUUGCAGAAUUCAGUGAAUCAUCGAAUCUUUGAACGCACAUUGCGCCCGCCAGCAUUCUGGCGGGCAUGCCUGUUCGAGCGUCAUUUCAACCCUCAAGCUCUGCUUGGUGUUGGGGCCCUACAGCUGAUGUAGGCCCUCAAAGGUAGUGGCGGACCCUCCCGGAGCCUCCUUUGCGUAGUAACUUUACGUCUCGCACUGGGAUCCGGAGGGACUCUUGCCGUAAAACCCCCCAAUUUUCCAAAGGUUGACCUCGGAUCAGGUAGGAAUACCCGCUGAACUUAAGCAUAUCAAUAAGCGGAGGAAAAGAAACCAACAGGGAUUGCCUCAGUAACGGCGAGUGAAGCGGCAACAGCUCAAAUUUGAAAUCUGGCCCUAGGCCCGAGUUGUAAUUUGCAGAGGAUGCUUUUGGUGCGGUGCCUUCCAAGUUCCCUAGAACGGGACGCCAGAGAGGGUGAGAGCCCCGUACAGUUGGACACCAAGCCUUUGUAAAGCUCCUUCGACGAGUCGAGUAGUUUGGGAAUGCUGCUCAAAAUGGGAGGUAUAUUUCUUCUAAAGCUAAAUACCGGCCAGAGACCGAUAGCGCACAAGUAGAGUGAUCGAAAGAUGAAAAGCACUUUGAAAAGAGGGUUAAACAGCACGUGAAAUUGUUAAAAGGGAAGCGCUUGUGACCAGACUUGCGUCCGGUGAAUCACCCAGCUCUCGCGGCUGGGGCACUUCGCCGGCUCAGGCCAGCAUCAGCUCGCUGUCGGGGACAAAAGCUUCAGGAACGUAGCUCUCUUCGGGGAGUGUUAUAGCCUGUUGCAUAAUAC
rnacentral:rRNA from 1 species